UUUGAUACAAAUCAAGGCACCAAAAGUAAAUGAUCUGCAAAGAGCAUAUCACAACAUUUGAAAAUUACAAAUAAUGUGGAACACUCAGACUCAUAUACCAUGUUGGUAACAAGUUUCGUAAGAUUAUAAAAAAUACAGAUAGUGUUGUAACUUAACUCUGCCAUCGUCGACCCGGCAAGGCCGAGAAGUAGCUCCCGCGCCCCCGGACCUUCCAUGAAAUCGUGGAAACCGCCUCGACGAUGGCUGGAGAUGAUGGUUCUAAAACAUGUACAAUGGAUAUUUGGGAUGACAUAACCUGGAGGGAUCUAACAUAAAUAUANUUGAAUCUCUAGAAGAACUUAUAUUUAGGAACGGAGGGAGUACAAGACAUGAUUUACACUCUUUUGUAGAAAAAGAACGUUGAGACAAUCACCAGCCUUUCACACGGUCACACCAUGCAAAAAAAGGAUUUAGCCAUGCCGAUCUCCCCUACCUAGCCGACAAACCGCAACAAGAAGUCGUCAAUCUAAAGCAUGAACCCUUGGUUUCCAUUGAUGAACUUGCAACAAUAAAUUUUGGCAUAGUUUCAAACAAAAAAAGAACUAUCUAUAAAUAUAUUAUGCUCAUUUGGUCUUUAAACGGGGCAUGUUCACCUGACCCUUUCUGAGAUGCAGCUGCAUGAUGAUUCUCCAUCUGUAACAUGUUAAAACCAUCCAUGGUAAAGCAAUGAAAUCCGUAGAACUAUAUAAUUGUUACAAUUGAUGUUAGACUCUAGACAUUCAUAAAGUCAGAAUAGGAUGAGUAAAUAGUUGCUUCCUAUUUGGAUUUAGAUCACAUCUUAGUUAAGAAAUACAUAGAUACAAAAUUUGUAGUACAUUACAGGGAGUAUUAGGUCAAGAUAGAAAAAGGCAAGAUACAUUUAAGAGGUUAAAAAAACAAAAUUAUUAUCAUGUCAUGGGGCAUUAUAAUAACUGAAUCAAUCACUUAGAACUUUUGGACAUCGCCGUAUCAAAAUAACGUUACCUACCUUUGUACAACGUAAUUAAUCGGGGCCAGAUCAACUUGUUUUAUGAAGGGCGUGAAAGUUGUUGGUGAGACAAAAAAAUUGUUGACACUCGUAUUUUUCCCACACAUAUAUGCGAAUAAGGAGAAACAUCAUCCUUCAGUAGAGCUGUGUUGAGGAAAUAUGAAAUAAACCUGUUAUGCUACGGGUCCGCUCCAAAAGAAUGAGAAGUUCUUUACGGCUUAAUGUGUGAAAGCCUUCCAUGUCUUGCUCUUCAGACUAGGAGAGUAGGAAUCGCUAGGAAUAUCAAAAUAUCAAUGGGUCCCUACAAGUUAUAAAGUAAACCCGAUGGUUGCACUUCCCUAGUUUCAGAAAGGGGAAGCAUAUAAAAGCCUAAAUAUAUAAAUAAAAGGUCUAAUCCAUUAUUAGCCAACAUCUCCUACGACUGAAUGUAAAUCGUUCCAAUUAAGAAGAAAUUAAACUAAAAAUAGAAGGACACUCCUCACAAAUAGCUAGCAAUACAUAGAUAUUGUGUUCACCUUGGAAAUAUGAACCCCAGGCUUCUAGGUGCUCUAGAACAUUUGAUACAAAUCAAGGCACCAAAAGUAAAUGAUCUGCAAAGAGCAUAUCACAACAUUUGAAAAUUACAAAUAAUGUGGAACACUCAGACUCAUAUACCAUGUUGGUAACAAGUUUCGUAAGAUUAUAAAAAAUACAGAUAGUGUUGUAACUUAACUCUGCCAUCGUCGACCCGGCAAGGCCGAGAAGUAGCUCCCGCGCCCCCGGACCUUCCAUGAAAUCGUGGAAACCGCCUCGACGAUGGCUGGAGAUGAUGGUUCUAAAACAUGUACAAUGGAUAUUUGGGAUGACAUAACCUGGAGGGAUCUAACAUAAAUAUAAGUCUUGGCCCUCAAAAUAUGCGGUGCUACACUGAAAUCAUUCACCUUGAUAUCUAGAUGGAAUUCAUAGUAGCGGAGCACAAUGUAAUUUAGUGACCGACUGGAUGUACCACAUAACUCAUGUGCUCUACUAGAAGGCUCUUCAAAUCAAUCGUGUAAAAGAUUGGAUCUUGACACCAAAUCACCAUGGUCUCCAACGACAAUUUUAGAUGAGCGAUUAAAAAACACAGUAGCACGCAUAGUCUUUGUUGCAGAACUAUCAUAAAAUACUUAGCAUAGAACCACCACAUGUUCUAACUCAC
rnacentral:lncRNA from 1 species